AUACGUAGGGAGCGAGCGUUGUCCGGAAUUACUGGGCGUAAAGGGCGCGUAGGCGGCGCUUCAAGUCGUCUGUCAAAUGGGAGGGCUUAACCCUUUUUCGCAGACGAAACUGGAGAGCUUGAGAAGCAGAGAGGCAAACAGAAUUCCUGGUGUAGCGGUGAAAUGCGUAGAUAUCAGGAAGAAUACCAGUGGCGAAGGCGGUUUGCUGGCUGCAUACUGACGCUGAAGCGCGAAAGCCAGGGGAGCAAACGGGAUUAGAUACCCCGGUAGUCCUGGCAGUAAACGAUGCAUGCUGUGUGUGAGACUAGCGAUAGUUUCGUGCCGAAGUUAACGCGAUAAGCAUACCGCCUGGGGAGUACGGUCGCAAGAUUGAAACUUAAAGGAAUUGACGGGG
rnacentral:rRNA from 1 species